UGGGAAUAUUGCACAUGGCGAAGCCUGAUGCAGCAACGCCGCGUGAGUGAUGAAGGCCUUCGGGUUGUAAAGCUCUGUCUUUUGGGACGAUAAUGACGGUACCAAAGGAGGAAGCCACGGCUAACUACGUGCCAGCAGCCGCGGUAAUACGUAGGUGGCAAGCGUUGUCCGGAUUUACUGGGCGUAAAGGAUGCGUAGGCGGAUUUUUAAGUGAGAUGUGAAAUACCCGGGCUUAACUUGGGUGCUGCAUUUCAAACUGGGAAUCUAGAGUGCGGGAGAGGAGAAUGGAAUUCCUAGUGUAGCGGUGAAAUGCGUAGAGAUUAGGAAGAACACCAGUGGCGAAGGCGAUUCUCUGGACCGUAACUGACGCUGAGGCAUGAAAGCGUGGGUAGCAAAC
rnacentral:rRNA from 1 species